rnacentral:lncRNA from 1 species
ACGUUUCUUACAUCCUCACUGUGAGCCAGUGGCGGCACUAGCUGCUGGGUAUUCACAGGAAGAACUUUACUUGGUUCCCACGCUCUUUCCAGCACCUUUAAGGCCAAACAGACACCUGAAAGAGAAAGCAGAAGUCGGGGAUGCUCCAGAAGCUUCUGAGAGACCCGGAAGGCUGUGCUUCUAGACCUCAGUGUCCCUGCCUUCAGGGAGGGACUUUUAGAAUGCUCAGACCGAGGGAGGGGAGAAAAAGGAGAAUCGCCAUGACUCAGAGGAAGAAGGAUUCAAGAGCUGCAGGAGAGAAAGCAUCCAGCAAUGCCUGGGAAAUGGAUACAUUCUGUACACCUACAAAGUCUGGCUGCUUGUCAGGGAGAGAGGACCAAAUGGACUCUUGAAGAACACUCAGGGAACUUGGCUGGGGUACAGAGGCAGAUGCACAAGCUUGGGGCUUGACUCAUGAAAGGUGCACUUUUGUCAAGAAUCUACCAACCAGCAAUCACAGAGCAAGUUACGUGACCACAAAGCUUUUGGCCACACAGCUCAGAACACUCCAGGAUUCUUGUCUGUUCUACCAGCCCAAGCAGAGCAAGAUCACUUGGCUUAGUUGCUGGGCUCUGGGAGGAUUUU